UGGGAAAGAAUAACAAGGUGACCUGAGGAA
rnacentral:piRNA from 1 species